AACCCAUGGCAAGGGCACUUUCUCAAUAAAUCCUUAUACAUCUCCCAUGCAUUAUAAAGGGUUUCUAAAUCCAUUUGCACAAAGGAAGAAAUAUCAUUCCUCAACUU
rfam:Gossypium hirsutum cultivar TM-1 chromosome 16, whole genome shotgun sequence